UGGGGAAUAUUGGACAAUGGGGGGAACCCUGAUCCAGCAAUGCCGCGUGUGUGAAGAAGGCCUGAGGGUUGUAAAGCACUUUCAGUGGGGAGGAGGAUUGAUUGGUUAAGAGCUGGUUAAUUGGACGUUACCCACAGAAGAAGCACCGGCUAACUCCGUGCCAGCAGCCGCGGUAAUACGGGGGGUGCAAGCGUUAAUCGGAAUUACUGGGCGUAAAGGGUGCGUAGGUGGUUUAGUAAGAUAUGUGUGAAAUCCCCGGGCUUAACCUGGGACGGUCAGAUAAGACUGCUAAACUCGAGUAUGGGAGAGGGUAGUGGAAUUUCCGGUGUAGCGGUGAAAUGCGUAGAGAUCGGAAGGAACACCAGUGGCGAAGGCGGCUACCUGGCCUGAUACUGACACUGAGGCACGAAAGCGUGGGGAGCAAACAGGAUUAGAUACCCCCGUAGUCC
rnacentral:rRNA from 1 species